rnacentral:rRNA from 1 species
GACGAACGCUGGCGGCAAGCUUAACACAUGCAAGUCGAACGCCGUAGCAAUACGGAGUGGCAGACGGGUGAGUAACACGUGGGAACGUGCCUUUCGGUUCGGAACAACUGAGGGAAACUUCAGCUAAAACCGGAUACGUCCUUCGGGGGACAGUUUACGCCGAAAGAUCGGCCCGCGUCAGAUUAGGUAGUUGGCGGGGUAAUGGCCCACCAAGCCGAUGAUCUGUAGCUGUUCUGAGAGGAAGAUCAGCCACACUGGGACUGAGACACGGCCCAGACUCCUACGGGAGGCAGCAGUGGGGAAUAUUGGAAAGUGGGCGCAAGCCUGAUCCAGCUAUGCCGCGUGGAUGAAGAAGGCCUUCGGGUUGUAAGGUCCUUUCGGCGGGGAAGAUAAUGACGGUACCCGCAGAAGAAGCCCCGGCUAAUUUCGUGCCAGCCGCCGCAGUAAGAC